rnacentral:rRNA from 1 species
CGGUAGCUAAUACCGCGUAAUGUCUUAGGACUAAAGGGUGGGACCAUUUGGCCACCUGCCAUAAGAUGAGCCCAAGUGGGAUUAGGUAGUUGGUGAGGUAAAGGCUCACCAAGCCCGCGAUCUCUAGCUGGUCUGAGAGGAUGACCAGCCACACUGGAACUGAGACACGGUCCAGACUCCUACGGGAGGCAGCAGUGGGGAAUAUUGCACAAUGGGGGGAACCCUGAUGCAGCCAUGCCGCGUGAAUGAAGAAGGCCUUCGGGUUGUAAAGUUCUUUCGGUGACGAGGAAGGCGAUUGUUUUAAUAGAACAGUCGAUUGACGUUAAUCACAGAAGAAGCACCGGCUAACUCCGUGCCAGCAGCCGCGGUAAUACGGGGGGUGCGAGCGUUAAUCGGAAUAACUGGGCGUAAAGGGCACGCAGGCGGUUGUUUAAGUGAGGUGUGAAAGCCCCGGGCUUAACCUGGGAAUUGCAUUUCAGACUGGACAACUAGAGUACUUUAGGGAGGGGUAGAAUUCCACGUGUAGCGGUGAAAUGCGUAGAGAUGUGGAGGAAUACCGAAGGCGAAGGCAGCCCCUUGGGAAUGUACUGACGCUCAUGUGCGAAAGCGUGGGGAGCAAACAGGAUUAGAUACCCUGGUAGUCCACGCCGUAAACGCUGUCGAUUUGGGGAUUGGGGUUUAACUCUGGUGCCCGUAGCUAACGUGAUAAAUCGACCGCCUGGGGAGUACGGCCGCAAGGUUAAAACUCAAAUGAAUUGACGGGGGCCCGCACAAGCGGUGGAGCAUGUGGUUUAAUUC